GGACGAGGGUCGGGGUAACGUCAAGCGCUCCGUUACGUUCAACAUCGAGGAGUCGGCGUCCUAUCCGCCGACCGUCAAGGA
rnacentral:ribozyme from 1 species